rnacentral:rRNA from 1 species
UACGUAGGGGGCAAGCGUUGUCCGGAUUUAUUGGGCGUAAAGAGCGUGUAGGCGGCUUUACAGGUCCGUUGUGAAAACCCGAGGCUCAACCUCGGGCCUGCAGCCGAUACGGGCAGACUAGAGUUCGGCAGGGGAGACUGGAAUUCCUGGUGUAGCGGUGAAAUGCGCAGAUAUCAGGAGGAACACCGGUGGCGAAGGCGGGUCUCUGGGCCGAUACUGACGCUGAGGAGCGAAAGCGUGGGGAGCGAACAGG